ensembl:lncRNA
GCUGUCCUGGAACUAGCUCUUGUAGACCAGGCUAGUCUUGAACUCACAGAGAUCCCUCUGCCUCUGCCUCCCAAGUGCUGGGACUAAAGGUGUGCGCCACCACCACCUGGCUACCCAUGGUGGCUUUUAAAAUUACAAAUCUUUUUGCUUCAGCCUCUCAAGUGCUGGAGUACAGGCGUGUACACUGACAUUGGAGUACACUGGCCCAGUUAUAAAGUGUCCUGCAAUCUAAGCUUGCCGUUUUUCUCAUGUUUUGAUUUAAAUUAUACAUGGCUCUAUUAUCACAAAUGCAUUAAGAGAUGCUAUUUACCUCCAUCACUACUGGUGCUGUUUACUUUUUUGAAACAGUGUCAUGUAGCUCAGGCAGACCUUAAGCUGAGGAUGACCUUGAGUUCACUAUCCUCCUGCCUCUUUGCCUCUUGAAUGCUGAGAUUACCGACAUCACACAGUCACUGUUCUAUUGCUAUGAAGAGACACCAUGAUCAAGGCAAUUUAUAAGAGGAAGCAUUUAAUUGGGGGCUUGCUUAUGAUUUUAGAGGGUUAGCUCAUUUCUCUUGUGGCAGGAAGCCUGGUACUGGAGCUGAGAGCCAACAUUAUCCCUAAUUUGCAGAAGGCAGAGAGAGAAAGACAGGCUUGGUGUGGUAGUUUUGAAACCUUAACCCCUCCCACCUCCCCCAGUGAUGCACCUCUUCUAACAAGGCCACACUUCCUAAUCCUUCCUAAAUAGUCUACCAACUAGGAACCAGACAUUGAAAUAUAUGAGCCUAUGGGGGCCAUUCUUACUCAAACUCCAAGCCUGGGGACUGAACCUAUUGGUUUCAUAUAUACUAGAUAAAUACUGGGCUUCGUUUCCAUUCCCUAGAGAUUAGCUAAGACUUCAGCACGAUAGAAAGCUUAACAUUUAUAAGCAUCCAAAAACUUGCCAGCUUCAUGCAAGUGUGAUGAUCCACUUGCUUUUGAAUGCAGACUUUUUGUAGAACUUAUGUUUCUUGGUAGUAGUCUCCAAUCCUUGUUAGCGUUUUGACUCCUGGGAAUCCAAAUUGAGAGCUUGGGAGAAUGCCCCUGUCCCUAAAAGGGGUCCAAACUUUGUCCCCAUUCUGACAAGGUCCUCUUGUUUGGGGAAAAACCUUCUAUCCCCAUCUGAUAAAUUUAGGCAGAUCUGGCCUGCCCUGGGCCCAGAACUUUAGGGUAAUCCUACUUUGUCUCAUCUCUGGCUGUGUCCUACUUGACUAGAUGAGGAUUCCAGAAGCUAAGGAGGCAUGGCCUCCCAGAGCCACCCCCUAUUUAAUUCUCUGAGCACUAGGACUCAAUACCAGCCACCCUGCCCAUGCCAGGUAAAUCCUAAAGAUGGCUGUCAGACCCCCCUUUUAAAAAUUAAAAGUUAGAUGAUGGGUGUGGUGGUGCAUAUAUGUAGUUCCAACACCUUUGCGGUGGAAGCAAGAAGAUCAGGAGUUCAAGUCAUAUCCCUUGGCCGGUAUCGGGAGUUCAAAGCCACCUGGGUUACAUGAGACCUUGUCUUAAAAAAACAAACUAAAACCAAGUAAACAAAAAGUCUAGAUCUAAUUGGUCCACUUCUGUGGGGCUCGUAGAAAGCACCUGCAUUUCCUUCCAGCCAGUCCUCAUCCUUGAGCUCUGUCUGACUUCGGUGGACACCAGUGUGCACAUCGUAACUGGCAUUCUGUGGCUUCACAGAGCAGGAAGAUGAGCUAGAGGAAGUAGAAGUUGAAGCCCAGCCAGCCCUUGACCUCCAAAUAGGAAAAGGUUGAGAAGGCAGAAGCAGCAGGCAUGACUAGUGAAGACAAUGCUUAGACCCCAGGAUGUCCCCCGGCCAAACUGUCAUCAGCUGGAGCGCUCAGGCACUUCCGCCCCACCUUACCUAGUGCCUUAAACUAAGCUGGUGUUCAUGUUCAGACACCAACCACUGUUAGCUACUGCUGCCAACACCAAAUAUUCAUCCUCAACCAUCUGGUUCUGUCAGCACUCCCCUCCCCAAGGUCAAGAUUAAUAAUGUCUUCUGAGAAGUUAAAAGAGAACCCUCAGCCUUAUCCGCUGGCCUCUCCACGUGGAUCCCGUGACAAGAAGACUUCUGAUUCCCUGGCCGUGACAAGCACUGUUAGCCAGAAAAACGAUGCCAACAACAGGACUCAGAAGUUUAAUGAAAUGCACCUGGCCGACCUACAGAAGGUUUUUGAGGCGGAGACAGAUGAGCAUGGAGGCUCCUGGACACUAGCCCUGGUGGCUGGAUGAGCAAGGUCAUGUUGGUGCCUUCCUGUUUACCAUGUGUCCUCCAAGCCAGGGAGUUCUUGCAUCAUGGGAGGCCCAUGGCUCUGAAGAGACCUCCUUCCCUUCUCCUGAGGAUUUGCAAGUGCAGAGGCAGUUUUCCUUUACCUAUCUUCCUGCAGUGCUCAUAAACUGUCAUUGUCACCAUCUGGGCAUGGAAGGGGCAUGGAGCACUACUUACAACAUGUAAGUCUCUUGGCCCCAGCUUUACAUACUUGAGACGGGCAUCUCUCCAAACAAG